rnacentral:tRNA from 1 species
UGUUUUUAUAGUGUAAUAUUAACAUAUAGUUUUUUCGAGACUAAGCUAUUUUUUUUAAAAACA